UACGUAGGGGGCAAGCGUUGUCCGGAUUUAUUGGGCGUAAAGAGCGUGUAGGCGGCUUUACAGGUCCGUUGUGAAAACUCGAGGUUCAACCUCGAGACGCCGGUGGAAACCGUAAAGCUAGAGUCCGGAAGAGGAGAGUGGAAUUCCUGGUGUAGCGGUGAAAUGCGCAGAUAUCGGGAGGAACACCGGUGGCGAAGGCGGUUCUCUGGGCCUUACCUGACGCUGAGGAGCGAAAGCGUGGGGAGCGAACAGG
rnacentral:rRNA from 1 species